rnacentral:rRNA from 1 species
UACGUAGGGGGCGAGCGUUGUCCGGAAUUAUUGGGCGUAAAGCGCGCGCAGGCGGUCCUUUAAGUCUGAUGUGAAAGCCCACGGCUCAACCGUGGAGGGUCAUUGGAAACUGGGGGACUUGAGUACAGAAGAGGAAAGCGGAAUUCCACGUGUAGCGGUGAAAUGCGUAGAGAUGUGGAGGAACACCAGUGGCGAAGGCGGCUUUCUGGUCUGUAACUGACGCUGAGGCGCGAAAGCGUGGGGAGCAAACAGG